rnacentral:rRNA from 1 species
GAUUGAAUGGCUGCAGUCGAGCGAGCUCUUCGGAGCUAGCGGCGGACGGGUUAGUAACGCGUGGGAACGUGCCCUUCACUGCGGAAUAGCCACUGGAAACGGUGAGUAAUACCGCAUACGCCCUUCGGGGGAAAGAUUUAUCGGUGAAGGAUCGGCCCGCGUUAGAUUAGAUAGUUGGUGGGGUAACGGCCUACCAAGUCUACGAUCUAUAGCUGGUUUUAGAGGAUGAUCAGCAACACUGGGACUGAGACACGGCCCAGACUCCUACGGGAGGCAGCAGUGGGGAAUCUUGGACAAUGGGCGCAAGCCUGAUCCAGCCAUGCCGCGUGAGUGAUGAAGGCCUUAGGGUCGUAAAGCUCUUUCGCCAGAGAUGAUAAUGACAGUAUCUGGUAAAGAAACCCCGGCUAACUCCGUGCCAGCAGCCGCGGUAAUACGGAGGGGGUUAGCGUUGUUCGGAAUUACUGGGCGUAAAGCGCACGUAGGCGGAUCAGAAAGUUGGGGGUGAAAUCCCGGGGCUCAACCCCGGAACUGCCUCCAAAACUCCUGGUCUUGAGUUCGAGAGAGGUGAGUGGAAUUCCGAGUGUAGAGGUGAAAUUCGUAGAUAUUCGGA